GAGAUAAAUAAAGGAAAAGCUUCUAACUUAAUCCUAUAGCACUGAAAACAUGUUAUUAUCUCU
rnacentral:tRNA from 1 species